AGUCAAGAAUAUUCCUCAAUGGCCGAAAGGCUGAAGGAGCGACGCCGCGUGUAUGAUGAAGCCCUUCGGGGUGUAAAAUACUUUUAACCGGGACGAAGUACUGACGGUACCGGUUGAAUAAGGGGCUGCUAACCUCGUGCCAGCAGCAGCGGUAAUACGAGGGCCCCGAGCGUUAUCCGGAUUUAUUGGGCGUAAAGGGUGUGUAGGCUGUUUAUACCAUCUCCUGUUAAAUCUUAAGGCUCAACCUUGAGGCUGCGGGAGAUAUGAAUAAACUAGAGUUCGGAAGAGGCAAGCGGAAUUGCUGGUGUAGGGGUUAAAUCCGUUAAUAUCAGCAAGAACACCGAAAGCGAAGGCAGCUUGCUAGGACGACACUGACGCUGAGACACGAAAGCGUGGGGAGCGAAUGGGAUUAGAUACCCCAGUAGUCCACGCCGUAAACGAUGGAUGCUGAACAUUGGCAGUAUCGACCCUGCCAGUGUGGCUGUAAUCAAGCUAACGCCUUAAGCAUCCCGCCUGGGGAGUACGGCCGCAAGGCUAAAACUCAAAGGAAUAGACGGGGACCCGCACAAGCGGUGGAGCAUGUGGUUUAAUUCGACGAUAAGCGAGGAACCUCACCAAGGUUUGACAUCUAGCUGCAGACUCCUGGAAACAGGAGAGCCUUCGAGGGUGCUAGACAGAUGCUGCAUGGUUGUCGUCAGCUCGUGUCGUGAGAUGUACCGUUAAGUCGGAAAACGAGCGCAACCCUUAUUCUAUGUUUCAUGUGUCAUAGAAAACUGCCUGCGUUAAGCAGGAGGAAGGUGGGGAUGACGUCAAAUCAGCAUGGUUCUUACACCUUGGGCGACACACGUGCUACAAUGGGUAAUACAAAGGGACGCCAAACCGUAAGGUGGAGCAAAUCCCCCAAAAUUACUCUCAGUUCGGAUUGAGGUCUGCAACUCGACCUCAUGAAGCCGGAAUCGCUAGUAAACGCGUAUCAGCCACGGCGCGUUGAAUACGUUCUCGGGUCUUGUACUCACCGCCCGUCACGUCAAGAGAGUCGGUAACACCCGAACAGCGCACCCGCGUUGGAAGGUGGGAUCGAUGAUAGGGACG
rnacentral:rRNA from 1 species